rnacentral:rRNA from 1 species
CACGGGGGGACUCCUUCGGGAGGCAGCAGCAAGGAAUGUUUGGCAGUGGGCGCAAGCCUGACCGAGCAACGCCGCGUGGAGGAUGACGGCCUUCGGGUUGUAAACUCCUUUGAGGUGGGAUGAAACGGACAGUACCACCAAAACAAACCCCGGCUAACUUUGUUCCAGCAACCGCGGUAAGACAGAGGGGGCGAGCGUUGUCCGGAGUGAAUGGGCGUACAGCGCGUGCAGGCGGACCGAGACGUGCUGUGUGACAACUCACCGCUCACCGGUGAGAGGCCAGGGUAAACGGACGGUCUAGAGGGUUGGAGAGGGAUGUGGAAUACCCGGUGGAGCGGUGAAAUGCGUAGAGAUCGGGGGGAACACCAGAGGCGAAGGCGGCGUCCUGGCCAACAACUGACGCUGAGGCGGGAGAAAGUGGGGAGCAAACGGGAUUAGAUACCCCCGUAGUCCACCCCGUAAUCGAUGUGGAGCAGGUGUCUGGGAGUGAUNGUGCCUCUGGGUACCCAAGCUAACGCGAUA